rnacentral:SRP_RNA from 1 species
GGGGGCUCUGUUGGUUCUCCCGCAACGCUAACUUGUUAACUUGGUCAGGUCCGGAAGGAAGCAGCCAUAGCAGGGGAUGUGUGUGCCGGGAUGUCGCUGGCAGAGCCCUCGCCAAUU